rnacentral:rRNA from 1 species
CCUACGGGAGGCAGCAGUGAGGAAUAUUGGUCAAUGGCCGGAAGGCUGAACCAGCCAAGUCGCGUGAGGGACGACUGCCCUAUGGGUUGUAAACCUCUUUUAUAAGGGAAGAAUAAAUGCUACGUGUACCAUGCUGCCUGUACCUUAUGAAUAAGCAUCGGCUAACUCCGUGCCAGCAGCCGCGGUAAUACGGAGGAUGCGAGCGUUAUCCGGAUUUAUUGGGUUUAACGGGUGCGUAGGCGGUUUUUUAUGUUAGGGGUAAAACGUCGGGGCUACACCUUGAUCUGCCAUUGAUACUGUAAGACUCGAGUGCAGGCGAGGUAGGCGGAAUGAGUUGGGUAGCGGUGAAAUGCUUAGAUAU